CUUACUGGUUCUAGCACUGUCUCCUGUCUCCUGUCGUAGGAUCUGGAGACAGAAUGAAGCUGUUGACACUUAGUCCCGAAACCAUCCACUCGGCUGGUCGCCAGCACUGGCUUCUAACUUCAGGCGUACUUCAGAAGCACCUGGAAAUGAUGCAGAAAACCUACUUACCUCUGUGGUACUGACGUCCAACGCUCUUCACAUGAGAUGAGGGUACAGACUUUCGGACACUGUUGCCAGGGUGCUUUUGUAGACCACAUAGAUCAGACAGCCCUGUGCUCUUAUUGUAUGUGGCGUCCUCCGCACUUGAGUCUUUUUGGAGACCUCUGUAAUGUUCCUUGUCUCACGAGGUUAAGAGCCACUGAAGAAGAGUACCUUAAAGUGCUGCUGAAAGAACCUUCCAGAGAAUGGGGCCUAGUUUGUCAGAAUGACUACUAGCCUCACACAGUGCUGUGCACUCUGGAUUAUAGCUUAAACACUGUACAAUAUCGCACAGCUACAUCAUUUACCAGACCAUUACUGUCAGUUUGCACAGCCUCGUUAUUAAAUAUACUACUGGUUUCGUUGUGAAUUAUGAAUAGCCUCCAUUCAUUCUGAUAACCAAUUUUAAUAGAGAGAUCCAAGAAUAUAAAGAGCUUCAGAUCAAUUAAAACUUGAGAAGGAAUUCUGAUUUCAGAGAUUUUGAAAAUAACAUUUACAAGCAGGAAACUGUGGCCCAGUGGUUUCUUGUCUCUACCUCCCGAGCGCUGGAAUCGUAAGCAGGCACCACUCUGCGCAUCGUUCCUCUUUGCUCAGUUGGCAGUUGUAUCCCGGGAGGACUUCUUCGUAAGAGGCCUGAUCAGGCUGCUACCUGCCUGCUCUUACGAUUCUGUGAGCAGGGAGGAAGCAAUGCAUAGAGCAUGACGGCCCAGCUCCUGAAGGAUCCCUCAAGGGUAGCGUUGUGAAAGCACAGCAGCUGCAACCAUGGAACAGCAGAUGAUUGGAAGAGCAAGUCUUACUGUCCUCAGCCUCUCUCAGUUCUUUACUUAGCACCUCGCAUGUUUCUUGCUUCCAGUAGCCAUCUGUAUGUGUAGGGUCCUGGCUAGAGAAAUGGCAGCCCCACCUCAGUUACAUCCCAGUUUACUGAUGUGAAAAGUCGUGAGAAAUGAAGUGUCUGGAACUGUCCUGUGCCCGCAGUCUGGUCUGCUGCUGCCUUCUGUCCAUGCAGAUUCUAGGGCUGGUACAUUUGUCUUCCUUAUGUUUGAACUCAUGCACAGGUGUCAUCACCAUGAGAAUGAACUGUCUUCCCCAGACAAAUAACAGCACGCCACAAAAACAAAACACAAUGUACAGCUUAACUGUCUCCUCGACUUACAAAGUAUCUGUUACCUUAACUCCUGCCAGAAACCAUCUCAAUGACACUUCUGUAGCUGAAGAGGCCUCGUCAGAUCCCCCAUGUAGAAUCACUGCCUCAUACAUACAUUCUGUGCUUUAACUGCAGAAGCUCUGACACAUUCGGCUUUCAUCUCCGUGUCCUGAUGUGGAUACAAUGAGAACAGCUCUUUUAAGCUUUGGCUGUCAUGCCUGUCCCACCAUAGUGGACUGUCCCCUCAGACAUCCACAUGGAUGGCAGGAGAGAACAGACUCUGGUAGGUUGUAUUCUGACUUUUAUGAUGUUCACACAUACGAGCAUAUACAUACACACCACAUACAUACACACUCAAUGUAAAAUCAGUAUUUUUUUUUUUUUCGG
ensembl:lncRNA